rnacentral:sRNA from 1 species
UGCCAAAACCAGAAACAGUCUGGUGUUUACAACGAAUUGAUCACGACCAGUUAUGGAUUUCUUUGUUCUUUCUCCACUUCCACUGCUUCACUUGACUAGCGUUAA